ACCCGCAUUUUUCUUACUGUGACCCUUAUUUAAGGAUGAAGGCAGAAGAUAUACAUACUGGUUGUAAUGCAGUUACUCUGAAAAUCUGAGUGAAAUGGGUCAUUCCAGACAAUGUUCAGAAGAACAGUGUACUUUGAUUAAAAACUUAUAAACAAGCACAGA